rnacentral:lncRNA from 1 species
CUCCUGUAUAUCCUGGCUCCUCCCUUACCUCUCUGGAACAGUCCUCGGAGCUCUCUUAGAGGCUACUUCCCAAGUUCGCUUAAGGUCCAAACAAACUUCGCAAGUUUUAGGUCGCGCGUUUUUCUUCAUUCAACACCUCCUCCAUUUUCGCCACGAUGGUGCUGUCUGAAAUCUUUUCUCUUGUCUCUGACUGAAAAUACUUAAGUUGACGUAACCGACUCUAACCCUUAGGCUACCUGUAUUGAAGGCGUUAACGCUUUUCAGCUCCCAGAAGGGCCUGGGCCUGGCGGUGUGGGAACUACAUUUCCCAGAACGCUCUGCGGCCAGAGCGCAGUGUGGCUGGACCAAUGAGGAGUCCGGAGAGGGACGUUUCUGUCUCCUACGCGCCACUUCGGGGCGGGACUUCUGGCCUAGCCCUCCUGGCGGUUAUUUCAUCUGUUCUUGGCUGAGUCCCCUGGAUCAGAGGUUCCAGAGCAGUCGUACCCGAGGUGGCGGGAGAGAAAGCGUGAUCCCCCUGCACAAAGGAGGGUCUCAGGGAUCGGUGACCUUUGAGGGUGUGGCCAUGACUUUGACCUCGAGUUCCUGGCCAAGAAGAUCUAGCCCAAAGGACCCUAUACCAGGAGGUGAUGCUGCAGAGCUGGAAGACCUGCUUUGUUGGGUAAGUGCCCCCUUCGGCUCUUCCAUUCUGCCCUCGCACUUGUGCUCCAGGCCAGGCCACCCCUGAAGGCACUGGGCCUGCCCUCCCUCCCUGCCACUGUAGCUCCUGCCUUGUUUGGCUCUCAUAUCCUGUCUGGUCUCCCUGUCUCUACCAGGGAUUGGUGGGGUUAGAAUCAGAGUCCCCUUCAAAAUGAUUCAAGACAAAGGGAGAAUUUAUUAGGAGAGAGUGGGGAUAUAUUGCAGAAUCCAAGGGCAGAAUGUCCUGCUAGGCCCUGGGAGAAACUGAAAUCAAGAACUGAAUGGAAUUGUGAUCUGUCUCAGCCUUGGGUCUAUUGCCAUGGUUUCUUUCUUUGUGUCCCUCAUGCCACUGUCAGCAAGUGGCUCUUUCUGCUGCAGUGAGUUUGAAGCAGGAAUUGGCCACCCCAGUUGUCACCCUCUGAGGCCCCCAGAUUCCUUGCCUCCACUUUCCUCUGCCAGCUUUGCAUCUUUACUCUCAAGCUGUCUCUGCAGGAGGACUUUCCUACAUGGGUGUUCUUGAGGCAGGAAGUGGCCAUAUUUCCCUUGACUUCUCAGCCCAUCACAUGCUGGCCUCAGUCUGAGCUCCUUAUCCCAGGUUUCCACAAAAGGGCAGCUGACUGGCCCAGUUUGGCUGAGGAAGGGGAUCUCCACAGGCCUCACAGCAGGGACUGGUGAUGAGCUAUUCUCCAAGGAGAAAGGUGAGUCAGACAGGUGCUCAGAAGGCAUUUGUCAUCACUGUCGCCUGGCAUCUUCAAGGGGAAAACAGUCUUAGUUAAAGGUCAAAAGCUCAGUUGUGCCCAGGUGCCUGCAGGGUCCUUCCUUUCUCCUAAGGCGUGGGCCGAGAUCAUCCACUGGUACAGGAGUUGAUCGUAGAGGGUGCACAGUCACGUCACCAAAUGGCUUUGAUGGGUGGCCUGAGAAACUUUUCCUUCCCCUCUUCUCUUGUGGGUCAGCAUAUAAAGAAGUAACCACCGUUCCAUGGGCAAGGACCUAUGCUCCGCUCAUUUCCUCCUCCCAGCUUCUUAGUCCUUGGCAGUGCAGGAAAAUUCAGCCAACACAGUGAGCCUCAAUUGAGAAGAUGGCGCUUGACUUUGAGAUGUCCCCUGCUCUUCUUUUGUGAAAUAUUGAGGAGAGUAGAUGAUACAUGAUAUCUAAAUAAAUGUCUUUAAUUAGCCA